UACAGAGGUCCCAAGCGUUGUUCGGAUUCAUUUGGGCGUAAAGGGUGUGUAGGUGGCGCCGUAAGUCGGGUGUGAAAUUUCGGAGCUUAACUCCGAAACUGCAUUCGAUACUGCGGUGCUUGAGGACUGGAGAGGAGACUGGAAUUUACGGUGUAGCGGUGAAAUGCGUAGAUAUCGUAAGGAAGACCAGUGGCGAAGGCGGGUCUCUGGACAGUUCCUGACGC
rnacentral:rRNA from 1 species